rnacentral:rRNA from 1 species
CGGGGUGAGUAAUGCUUGGGAAUCUAGCUUAUGGAGGGGGAUAACUACGGGAAACUGUAGCUAAUACCGCGUAGAAUCGAGAGAUGAAAGUGUGGGACCUUCGGGCCACAUGCCAUAGGAUGAGCCCAAGUGGGAUUAGGUAGUUGGUGAGGUAAAGGCUCACCAAGCCGACGAUCUCUAGCUGGUCUGGGAGGAUGACCAGCCACACUGGGACUGAGACACGGCCCAG